rnacentral:tRNA from 2 species
UAGAAGUUAGUUAAAACAAUAAAUAAUAUAAACUUGUCAUGUUUAAGUUAAAAAUUUACUUCUAA